CCGCCCUGACCUCCGGUCCCACCCCCCGCCAGCACCUGGAGCAGUUUCCGCAGUCGAUGAUAGCGUUGUAGGAGGCGUUUACCGAGCCGAAGUAGUACUGGGUCUGUUUCAUGACGCAGCUGCUCUCUCGCGUCUCGGGGCUUCCUUCGGCUUCCGCGGGGUCUGCGAGGGCCCAGAGCGCCUCAGCCCCGCCCACGGGCCCUGACCCGGCCUCCGGCUCGGCUUCACUCAGCCGUAAGCCCCGCCCUCCCUUUGGAGUCGUCUCAGCUCUCCAAGACGGGGGUUUGAGGAGAGGGCCUCCAAAGCCCUACCUACCCGCUUGGAACCAGCUGUGGUAGAUGAGGCCGUAGAGAAGCUGCUGGAACAAAGACCUGCAGGGCACGGGGCACCGGGUGGAGAGGGUCAGCAGAAGCCAAUGUCCUUCCCGCUUCUCUUUUGAACCCUCCUGGCUCUGGAGCACCUUCUGUACCCACCUUUCCCACAGGACUCACCAGGCGGCAGCAGAGGUCCACCAGGCCAGGUUAAGGAAGUCUGCAAUGCACCAGGAAUCCCCCAUCAUCAAUGAGGACACAUAGCUGGGUGCCUACGUGUUGAGAUCCUGGUCCCGCCACACACGCUCCACCAGCUGCUGUGUGAUACCCGUGUCCAAGAUCAGGUUGUGCAGAAGGAAGUUGUUGCCUGGAACAGGAAGACAGGGUGGAAGAGGCAUCCUCUUGCAGCUCCCUGCCCAUCCUUGCCCUCACCCCCAAGGCUCCACCAGGAACCUUCCCCAUAACCUGGUCCAGACCCAGCCCUUGGCUUGGGCUGCAUGUUUCCACACCUGCCCAGUCUCUGAGCUCCUCUGGGCUGUCCCCAUGCUGCCUGGGGACUGCCCUGAUCCAGCAGCCCUGCCCCCCACUCACACUGCUUGGAGUCUGGAGUCACUUUCUCCAUGAGCUCAAUGAAGUUUUUCAGGAACUCGG